rfam:Ovis aries breed Texel chromosome 17, whole genome shotgun sequence.
UCCCUGAUGGUAUAGUGGUUAGGACUUGGUGCUUUAACUCCUGGGGCCCAGGUUCGGUACCUGGUCAGGGAA